CCAACCUGUAACCCCUACACUCCAAUUCAUUAACCAUUUGGUAUUUUUGAGAUAUCCAGUAUAUGUAUUAUAUUGAAUAUAUGUCAUUUGAUCGGCUAUAGGGCUUCAUCUAAUGGCCUAUGACAUCACACAUGUGACAUCACGGAAUGUCUCCUAUGUUCACCCACCGGCAUGAAACUUCUCUCAGAUCUGUGGAGUUGAGCAGUAAGUCCAGUUGUCUUUAUCUCCUGUUCCUUAUUAUUUCUGAUCUUCUACCUACUGGAUAUGUUUUCCCGUCCUAUGACAAGCCCUCUGUACUCUCUCGCCAUUCUGAUCUCCUCCAUAUCUGACCAGUGAUAAUAAUAUGAUAUAGAGAAGAUCUUACCAGAAAGUCCAUAAUCAUGUUUUCUGUUUUAUUUUUAUUUCAAGGAUUUUUCCGAGCUUUGGAAAGAGAAAUUCGCAAGAAAAAAUGGCAAAUUACGGUCUCAAGUCCUGGACCAGCAUCCAGAAUUUGGAUGAAGAUGAGCCGGCAGAGAUCAUCAC